ACGUCGCAAAGGUAAUGGUUUAUCAACGUUAGACAUUAGCUGCUUUUUCAACGAAUUUAAACUAUUUGAAAAACAACACUUAUUCAACGUUAUUUCAAAGUUGGUUGAAAAUGUGCUAAUUAAAAAACGUUGAAAAAGUGUUACUUUGCCAACGUUAAUAAAACGUUGUUUUGACAAUGUUGAGGAAGUGGCACAUUGAAAAUCAUUGUCUCAAUAACUGGCCAUUACAAAAAUAAUUUGCCGUUAUGGAAAGGCAAGGAAAACUUGAUAGAAUGCAUGCAUAUGAUAAAGAAGUAUGUGCAGGAUUUAAUUUCACGACUAAAGAGGACUCCGAAGAAGAAUUAAAGUUCUGAUGGAUCAAAAAUCGAGGAAUGAUUUGGUUUUAACUGGUUUGCAUCUUAUGAACGAAGUACAUAAUAUGAUUUAAAUUGAUGAUUUAUAGUUACACCUAUUGAAAUUCUGUAUCUCAAUGAUAUCCUGGCUUAUCGAUACAGUAUCCUGUAAAUCCACUUACAAACAUAAAUUUUACUCACAUACGUAAAUCCUGUAAAUUCACUCACACACAUAAAUCUUAAAAAAGAUGUUUAUAUUUUUAUCUCUAAAUUGUAAAUUUUAUAUAAAUAAAUUGUAUAUUUUUUAUGUUUUUCAUUGUAUAUUACUAUUUGUAUUAAAAAUCGACUUUGGAAAUAUAUUGUAAGUGCAG
rnacentral:lncRNA from 1 species